UACGUAGGUGGCGAGCGUUGUCCGGAUUUAUUGGGCGUAAAGCGCGCGCAGGCGGUCGCGUAAGUCUGCUGUGAAAUCUCCCUGGCUCAACCGGGAGGGGGCGGCGGAGACUGCGGGACUGGAGGGACCUAGAGGCCGGUGGAAUUCCCGGUGUAGUGGUGGAAUGCGUAGAGAUCGGGAGGAACACCAGUGGCGAAGGCGGUGGCCUGGACCUGUGCUGACGCUGAGGCGCGAAAGCGUGGGGAGCGAUCCGG
rnacentral:rRNA from 1 species